AAUCUUUCAUCGUCUACAAUCAUGCAGCUAAUACUAAUGAACUACUCCUCUUCCAGGUAGAAGCGGUGGAGCUCAGAAUCAGCCAAUCACAGCCGACUCCACCCAGCCCGCUCCUCCUGACCCCGCCUCCAUCGACAAAAACGUCCUGUUGGAGCGCCAGGCCCACCUGCCCACCACUCACAAAUUCAGCAGAGAGCCACUUGGAGCACAACCCCUUCAAGUGUCCCGCAGCCGGCUGCACCAAGUCGUUCAGGAAGGCGCGUCCGCUGCACUACCACAUCAAGUACUACCACUCCGACCAGCAGCUGGACGAACAGCUGGACGAG